AUUGAACGCUGGCGGAAUGCUUUACACAUGCAAGUCGAACGGCAGCACGGGUGCUUGCACCUGGUGGCGAGUGGCGAACGGGUGAGUAAUACAUCGGAACGUACCCAGUCGUGGGGGAUAACGUAGCGAAAGUUACGCUAAUACCGCAUACGUCCUGAGGGAGAAAGCGGGGGACCGUAAGGCCUCGCGCGAUUGGAGCGGCCGAUGGCGGAUUAGCUAGUUGGUGGGGUAAAGGCCUACCAAGGCGACGAUCCGUAGCGGGUCUGAGAGGACGGCCCGCCACACGGGAACUGAGACACGGUCCAGACUCCUACGGGAGGCAGCAGUGGGGAAUUUUGGACAAUGGGCGAAAGCCUGAUCCAGCCAUUCCGCGUGAGUGAAGAAGGCCUUCGGGUUGUAAAGCGCUUUCGGCAGGGAAGAAACGGCUUGGGAUAAUACCCCGGGCUAAUGACGGUACCUGAAGAAGAAGCACCGGCUAACUACGUGCCAGCCGCCGCAGUAA
rnacentral:rRNA from 1 species